AUGGGGUGACUGCGUACCUUUUGUAUAAUGGGUCAGCGACUUAUAUUCUGUAGCAAGGUUAACCGAAUAGGGGAGCCGAAGGGAAACCGAGUCUUAACUGGGCGUUAAGUUGCAGGGUAUAGACCCGAAACCCGGUGAUCUAGCCAUGGGCAGGUUGAAGGUUGGGUAACACUAACUGGAGGACCGAACCGACUAAUGUUGAAAAAUUAGCGGAUGACUUGUGGCUGGGGGUGAAAGGCCAAUCAAACCGGGAGAUAGCUGGUUCUCCCCGAAAGCUAUUUAGGUAGCGCCUCGUGAAUUCAUCUCCGGGGGUAGAGCACUGUUUCGGCAAGGGGGUCAUCCCGACUUACCAACCCGAUGCAAACUGCGAAUACCGGAGAAUGUUAUCACGGGAGACACACGGCGGGUGCUAACGUCCGUCGUGAAGAGGGAAACAACCCAGACCGCCAGCUAAGGUCCCAAAGUCAUGGUUAAGUGGGAAACGAUGUGGGAAGGCCCAGACAGCCAGGAUGUUGGCUUAGAAGCAGCCAUCAUUUAAAGAAAGCGUAAUAGCUCACUGGUCGAGUCGGCCUGCGCGGAAGAUGUAACGGGGCUAAACCAUGCACCGAAGCUGCGGCAGCGACGCUAUGCGUUGUUGGGUAGGGGAGCGUUCUGUAAGCCUGCGAAGGUGUACUGUGAGGUAUGCUGGAGGUAUCAGAAGUGCGAAUGCUGACAUAAGUAACGAUAAAGCGGGUGAAAAGCCCGCUCGCCGGAAGACCAAGGGUUCCUGUCCAACGUUAAUCGGGGCAGGGUGAGUCGACCCCUAAGGCGAGGCCGAAAGGCGUAGUCGAUGGGAAACAGGUUAAUAUUCCUGUACUUGGUGUUACUGCGAAGGGGGGACGGAGAAGGCUAUGUUGGCCGGGCGACGGUUGUCCCGGUUUAAGCGUGUAGGCUGGUUUUCCAGGCAAAUCCGGAAAAUCAAGGCUGAGGCGUGAUGACGAGGCACUACGGUGCUGAAGCAACAAAUGCCCUGCUUCCAGGAAAAGCCUCUAAGCAUCAGGUAACAUCAAAUCGUACCCCAAACCGACACAGGUGGUCAGGUAGAGAAUACCAAGGCGCUUGAGAGAACUCGGGUGAAGGAACUAGGCAAAAUGGUGCCGUAACUUCGGGAGAAGGCACGCUGAUAUGUAGGUGAAGUCCCUUGCGGAUGGAGCUGAAAUCAGUCGAAGAUACCAGCUGGCUGCAACUGUUUAUUAAAAACACAGCACUGUGCAAACACGAAAGUGGACGUAUACGGUGUGACGCCUGCCCGGUGCCGGAAGGUUAAUUGAUGGGGUUAGCG
rnacentral:rRNA from 1 species